rnacentral:rRNA from 1 species
GUCUAUUUGGGGAUACACAUAGUCUGGCCUGCUCACUGACACAGGAUUGUUUAAGAGCCGCGGUAUUUUGACCGUGCAAAGGUAGCAUAAUCAUUAGCUUUUUGAUUGAAAGCUUGUAUGAAUGGUCGGACAAAGGAAAAGCUGUCUUUAUUGUAAAAUUAGAAAUUAACCUCUAAGUGAAAAGGCUUAGAUUUUUUAGGGGGACGAUAAGACCCUAUAAAGCUUUACAUAUAAGUAGAGUUCACUUAAUUAAAAAGUAAAAGUUUAAUCUAAUUAAUGUGUUUUGUUGGGGCGACAUAAAUAUAAUUUAUAUUAACUGUUUAUAAAUUAAUACAAUAAUAAAUGAUUUUAAUGUAGUUGAUCCUUAUUAAAGAUUAAAAGACUAAGUUACUUUAGGGAUAACAGCGUUAUUUCUUUUGAGAGCUCCUAUCGAAAAAGAAGUUUGCGACCUCGAUGUUGAAUUAAAAUAUCUAAAUAAUGCAGCAGUUAUUUAAGAAGGUCUGUUCGACCUUUAAAUUUUU